rnacentral:rRNA from 1 species
AGCGAACGCUAGCGGCAGGCCUAACACAUGCAAGUCGAACGAAGUCUUCGGACUUAGUGGCGGACGGGUGAGUAACACGUGGGAACGUACCUUUUGGUUCGGAACAACUCAGGGAAACUUGAGCUAAUACCGGAUGAGCCCUUAGGGGGAAAGAUUUAUCGCCGAAAGAGCGGCCCGCGUUAGAUUAGCUAGUUGGUGAGGUAAAGGCUCACCAUGGCUACGAUCUAUAGCUGGUCUGAGAGGAUGAUCAGCCACACUGGGACUGAGACACGGCCCAGACUCCUACGGGAGGCAGCAGUGGGGAAUCUUGCGCAAUGGGCGAAAGCCUGACGCAGCCAUGCCGCGUGAAUGAUGAAGGCCUUAGGAUUGUAAAAUUCUUUUACCAGGGACGAUAAUGACGGUACCUGGAGAAAAAGCCCCGGCUACUUCGUGCCAGCAGCCGCCGUAAAAC